rnacentral:rRNA from 1 species
GGAGGAAAAGAAACUAACAAGGAUUCCCCUAGUAACUGCGAGUGAACGGGAAAAGCUCAAAUUUGUAAUCCGUCCCCCGACGGAGUUGUAAUCUAGAGAAGUGUUUUCGGCCGUUGUCUCGGAUAAGUCCCCUGAAACAGGGCGUCAUAGAGGGUAACAAUCCCGUCCUUACCGAGGUCGCAAUGUCUAUGUGAUACACUCUCGAAGAGUCGAGUUGUUUGGGAAUGCAGCUCAAAAUGGGUGGUAAAUUCCAUCUAAAGCUAAAUAUUGGCGAGAGACCGAUAGCGAACAAGUACCGUGAGGGAAAGAUGAAAAGCACUUUGGAAAGAGAGUUAAACAGUACGUGAAAUUGCUAAAAGGGAAGCGCUUGAAGUCAGUCGCGUCGUCAGAGACUCAACCUCACGGUGUAUUUCUCUGGUGACGGGCCAACAUGGAUUUUGGGCGUGGGAAAAGGAGACAGGGAAUGUGGCAGCCUCGGCUGUGUUAUAGCCCUGCAUCGUACACCACGCCUGGGAUCGAGGACCGCGGCUCUGCCUAGGAUGUUGGCGUAAUGGCUUUAAGCGACCCGUCUU